rnacentral:rRNA from 1 species
GACGAACGCUGGCGGCGUGCUUAACACAUGCAAGUCGAACGGAAAGGCCCUGCUUUUGUGGGGUGCUCGAGUGGCGAACGGGUGAGUAACACGUGAGUAACCUGCCCUUGACUUUGGGAUAACUUCAGGAAACUGGGGCUAAUACCGGAUAGGAGCUCCUGCUGCAUGGUGGGGGUUGGAAAGUUUCGGCGGUUGGGGAUGGACUCGCGGCUUAUCAGCUUGUUGGUGGGGUAGUGGCUUACCAAGGCUUUGACGGGUAGCCGGCCUGAGAGGGUGACCGGCCACAUUGGGACUGAGAGAGGGACCAGACUCCUACGGGAGGCAGCAGUGGGGAAUAUUGCACAAUGGGCGGAAGCCUGAUGCAGCAACGCCGCGUGCGGGAUGACGGCCUUCGGGUUGUAAACCGCUUUCGCCUGUGACGAAGCGUGAGUGACGGUAAUGGGAAAAGAAGCACCGGCUAACUACGUG